CCCAGGCCAGUGUAUUGCCUGUGGAGGAGAGAAGUGUAGGUAGUAUCAACAUACUGGCUGGUUUGAGGUCUCUGCUUUUAUAAAGUUUUUAUAUUUUCUACACCCUGAUUUAUUUGGUGGCAUUAAUCCAUAAUGAUAGUAUACUGCUGUAUUAACUUCACUAGUUUGGAGUUGUUUGAAAUAGGGUAAAAUCAAUCAUAAGAUACUUUUAUGAAAUGUAAUUUUUACAUAGUUAAAUACCUCUGUUAGCCAAGUGUUUCUCUAGGAGGCGCCUAUCAGACUUCUGUACCUUUAUGUUCUUUUAAAAUGUUUUGCAAUUAGUAUAAUAUUUGCAUGAAGAAGUCCUGUUGAAGGAGUUUCACUAGAGGUUAUAAGCAGCAGGAAACCUGGCUAUGGAUCAAGUCCAGGCUUCCAUUUCUGCUUCUGACACAUAAUGUCAGUGAGCAGCUUAUAUUUUUCUCAAAGCUUUUUCUUUCCCAGUAACAUGGGAGAACCAUUUCUCUCUUAGGAUUGAGGGAGCUGGAAAGAAUGCUUGUAAGGAUGUUAGAACAGUGGCACCUGUUAGGCCGUGUGUGUGUAUAUGUGUGUGUGUGUGUGUGUGUGUGUGUGUGUGUGUGUGUGUGUGUGUGU